UCUGACGAGGAAGUAGAAUGAGGAAACCGCGGAGAAAGGUUGCGUAGUUGAAAUAGAGCUCCUGAUUAAGGAAAAUAUACUUUACAAAAGUAAAGUAAAGAUUUUGUUUUUGUAGAGAUUCAAGAGGGGAGAUUUUGAUUGCUAACAUCCAGUUAUUAUUUUCGUUUCAAAGGAUUUUGUUUUUUGAGUUUCGUGAGGGAAUACUGGAUAUGGUCAGGUUUUUUCCGUGGAUUUGCGUUGGAUGUUUUCUUUGAUGGCGAGCCGACCAAAUCGAAUCUGAAAGGAGACCAAAGUUACCAGAACUGGAAAUUUAUCUUUUCUCUUCAAAAGGAAAGGAUUUCAGAAGACAUUGUGGACAGUGAAUUACUGCUACGUCGUUGGAUUUGAGAUAAGUGAUUGAGAAACGGAACUAAUCUCAAAACAGGUUUGAACCUACUCCGGAAAGAGGAUUCUUUAAGGGAUAUAUUUUGUACAAUGAAUGUCGAUUAUAUAUCUGAAAAUGACAGUUUAAUUCAUUGUGUGAGUAACAGAAAAUAUACCACCAAAGAUUCAAUUGAGUACUCAAGAAACCAGUGUUAUUUUCAUUUCAAUUUUAUAUUGGAAUCUGUUUUAUUUACGUUGUGAUUUGUUUAUUUUUCUUUUAUUUUGUUUUAUUAUUUUAUUUAUUAUGUUUUAUAUACUUAGGGGGUAAUUUGAUUAAAAGUAUACUUGCUAUAAAACCUGAUUGUGAGUUUCCAGUGAUUUCCUAUCUCCAGAGGGCCGCUCCUAUAUUUCUGAGUCGCAGUUAGAUUAAACAGUGGAACAAGAUAUUAAGAGCAAUACAUUUAAUUGAAUAUAACGUGUACCCUGUGCUACAACUC